rnacentral:lncRNA from 1 species
UUUGGUUAGGAUGGUGGGAUUCUGUUCGUCUCGAAGUAAUUCGUAGCCAUCCGUAAUUCAUUUUGUCUCGAGUUUGGCACUUGUCUGCAUCGCAUCCAGUUUUUAUUGCUUUUGUCUAUGGUAGCCCUAAUAGACAGAGGUGCCAACUUCUUUGGAGUGAGUUGAAGAACUCUAUACCUCGUGGUCAGAGCCUUUGGAUUUCUAUUGGUGAUUUUAAUGCAAUCUUAUCCUCUUCUUAGAAAUCCAGAGGCCUUUUAAGGGGAAGGAGGUGUCCGCAUUUUGGUG